UCGGGUAUGGUGUAGCGGUAACAUCGCUGACUCUCAUAGAGAGAUUCAAUGGAUCUUCAGAUUCUCAGCAGCCCGGGGUUCGACUCCCCGUAUCCGAG